CUAGCGAUUCAGAGUUUGAUCCUGGCUCAGGAUGAACGCUGGCGGCGUGCAUAACACAUUCAAGUCGAACGGUGAUGAGGACUUCGGUCCUCUGAUCAGUGGCGGACGGGUGAGUAACGCGUGAGCAACCUGCCUCAUACCCCGGGAUAACAGUUGGAAACGGCUGCUAAUACCGGAUGAAAUAUUUGGAUUGCAUGGUUUAAAUAUCAAAGCUACGGUGGUAUGAGAUGGGCUCGCGUAUGAUUAGAUAGUUGGCAGGGUAACGGCCUACCAAGUCUACGAUCAUUAGCCGAACUGAGAGGUUGAACGGCCACAUUGGAACUGAGAAACGGUCCAG
rnacentral:rRNA from 1 species